GUUGAAACGCCGGUUACCCCACGAUCACCGAAGUUAAGCAAUGUCGAGCCGAGUCAGUACCUAGAUAAGCGACAGCUUGGGAAUGACAGGUGCUGUAAG